rnacentral:rRNA from 1 species
GGUGGAAAUCCAAGACCAAUCCAGUACAUGCAGGCUUUUCAAGAGGCAAUAGAUAACUGUGAAUUGCAUGACAUGGGGUAUAUUGGUGAUUCCUUCACAUGGCAUAGAGGCAGAAUACGUGAAAGACUAGACAGGGGACUAGCCAAUGAUGGCUGGUCGGUUUUGUUCCUUGAUGCAGCCUUACAAAAUUUGGAAUAUAAUCACUCUGAUCAUCGGCCCCUAUGUGUGGAUACAGACUAUUUUUCUCACAAUCAGAUGGGAGGAAAUAAUGCACAGGUCAAGCGUUUUGAGUCAAGAUGGUUGCGGGAAGAAAUCUUUAAUGAUACUGUUCUUGAUGCUUGGACAAAUGUAGGUGCUGAUCCUAAUGCUACAAGUAUUUAUGAGAAGCUCAAUAAAAUGCAUGCAAUAUUCCACGAUUGGGACCAGCGUGUCCUUAAGAAACCAAAAAAAGGUUGCGCAAGGCCCAGCGUGAGCUUGAGAGAGUCAUGGCUGGUCCUAUGA